UCUCAGAGGCUUAAUAAACUCAUCUGUAAGACCCCCUUUCGGGGACCCCCACUCUAGUCUUAGGAGAGAGAGAGCACCCAAAGAAACAUGAGAAUCC
rnacentral:pre_miRNA from 7 species